UGACUGAGCCCCGCGGCGCGCGCCGGCUCCGCCAGGAGCGUGGGGUUGCCACGGCAACCAGCGCGGGCUGCCCUAGGGAUCCUCCGGAGUAGGAAGCUUCCCGCGCCAGCUGCGCUCCGCGUUGCGGUGAGCGGGCAGCCCUUCGCCCCAAGCAAGAGCCAGGGUCCAUGCUUCAGUGCCUUCAGUCAAAUCCGGAUAACAUUUAUUUAUAACUGCUGAUAGACUUUGGUGUUCUCGACAGUUCCAUAUCAGGAGUGAAUUAGAGGAGAGAAGCAGUGUGGUGCAGUGGGAAAUAUGGGAAGAGUAAAUGCUGAGUAAAUCUAUGCCUGGCAUCAAAACAUCUGCUACAUGGUUCCCAAGUUUUUUUGGUUAUCUACUAACUACAUGGACAAUAUGAUUAAAGUUAUAGAUUCUCACACUAGAGAAAACAGUUUUUCUUUUUUUCACAUCUCUUUAAAUUUUGUUCCUGAGAUGAGUGCCUCACUUGCCUGUCCUUAGUUCUGCCCCAUAAUUGAAUCCGGAGGUUCAGAUGACCACAGCAUGAGUCAACUCCUUUGGGUCUGCUUAAUUUUGAGAGAGGCACAGCAAUAAAGGGAACACAAGCAGGGGGAGUGAGAGAGGGAGAAGCAGGUUCCCUGCUGAGCAGAGAGCCCUAUGGGAAGCUCAGUCCCAGGACCCUGCGAUCAUGACGUAAGCCGAAGGCAGACACUUAACUGACUGAGCCACCCAGGUUGCCCUAAUAUUUUGUUCUUCAUUAAAUAACUGUAUCAAGGAUAUUUUGUUAAUUGAAGAAAAGAUAUAAAACUGUAUCUAGCAUAUACCACCAUUUGUGUGAAAUAUAUGUGUGUAUGCAUAUGAUCAUUAUUCCUGGAAAGAUAAAAAAAAAACCAAUAAUAGUUAUUCCUUCUGAGGAGGAUUUUUGGGUGGCUAAGAGAAAAUAGGAGGAAAACUAAGUUUUUACUCUAUAUCUUUUUAUGUCUUUCAAAAGUCAUGCUAUAUGAAUGUAUUACCUAUUCAAAAAUUAAUAGAUUUUAAAUACUCUCUUUUUUUCUAAUGAAUGUGUGAUAGAUGCCAUUAUAGUUUUCAGGCAAGAAGACAGGUUUCUGUGCUCCUGGAGAAGAUUUAGCCUUGGAGUAAAUCAGGCCUUGAUUUAGUAGAAAAUAAAAUUCAUUAUAAGAUAUCUGGAGUGUAACACAGUCAAAAUGGCAUGACUGUGUUUGAAUGGUCAGUAUUAAGGUGGAAGGCAGUUUUCAUUUUUUCACUCCUGACUUCCCUUACUCAAAAUGAGGUACAAGCAGACGUACAAACCAGGCAUACAGAAUUUUUUUUUAAGAUUUUAUUUAUUUAUUUGACAGACAGAGAUCACAAGUAGGCAGAGAGGCAGGUGGUGGGGGUGGGCGUGGGGAAGCAGGCUCCUCGCUGAGCAGAGAGCCCGAGGUGGGGCUCAAUCCCAGGUCCCUGGGAUCAUGACCUGAGCUGAAGGCAGAGUCUUUAACCCACUGAGCCACCCAGGCACCCCUAGAAUUUUUUUUUGAAGAUUAUUUUAUUUAUUUGAGAAAGAGAGCUCAAGCAGGAGGAGUGACAAAGGGAGUGAAUCUCAAGUCGACUCCUUGCUGAGCACAGAGCCAGGACAUGGGGCUCAGUCUCAUGACCUUGAGAUCAUGACCUGAACUGAAAUCAGGAGUUGGGGCUUAACCAACUGAGCCACCCAGGUGCCCCAGGCAAAUGUCCUGAGAUUAAAGAGACAGAAAACAAAUACUAAUUGAUAAUGGCAGUCUGUGCCUGAUAGUAAGUACAAAGUACGACUCAUUACUGACCCCUGCCCUUAGCAAUGCACAUGGGUUUUCUUGUCAAUAAUGUUAAUAGCUGUUAUGAGCCUUUAAUGAACAUUAAUAUCCAGAAUUCCAGGAGCACUUGGAUGUUGAAUCACAGGGGAUAUAUUCUGAUUUUAUGAAACCCUGUGUUCUAAAGACCAAAGAAUUAAGAGAGUACCUCAGGUUACUGUGGUGGGUGGUGGUCCUCAUAAUCGUGAAGAAACAUAGGUGCCUCCACGAAUUUCCUACUCUAGUUGGCAGUAGGGGGUCAUGACAGUGACAGCAAGAGCUAAAGAUUCUAGAAUAUAGUUGCUAGGCUAGGAGAUGGCAACAUAUGCUUCUCCAAAGAGGAGACUAUGAGAACCAUUAGAAAGAAUGGUGAUUCAGUAAUAAUGAAUAGAAUUAGCUUUUGUUUGUUACUAUGCUAACCCAAUUAGGUCCAGUUUCUGGUAUUAAAAUCCUUAAAAAAAGAAAAAUUCUUCAAUACCAAAAUUUACUCACUGAAUGUGUCAAUUCCUGAAGAGCUCAGGGGCAAAUGAUAAUUGACUUUUAUGAACAUGAAAAUGGUAAUUCAAUUUUGAGUCUGUACCUAACUAGGUCAAUGUCUGUAAAGCUUUCAAGAUCAAUAUCAGGAGGUGAUGGAGGGUUAUAUGGAUGUGCAGGAACAAUGGGGCCAAAUGGAUCUCCCAUUACAGAAGGUGGAAGAGGGCACUCAGCUCUGGAUAUGGCUAGAUUUGCUGCUUCUGGUAAUUUCUUCUCCAGACUAUUUACAAGUCUGGAAGAAACAGCUUUUGUACUUCAUUUUCAUAUCUUUUUUUUUUUUUUUUUAAUAUGUUGAACUUUGCUUGUAUGAACACAGUUGCCAUUAAUAGGUUGUUUAUUCAUGUCUGCCCGGACUUGUUAGAUGAAGUGCCCGGUUGGUAUAUUUAGAUUCAGUGUUCUCCCCCCUUAAUGGCUUUAAAUCACUAUUGAUUAUUAUUUAACAUUUAUAUAACUUCAUCAGAGAAGCAAAGAGCUCAGUCCAUCUUACUCAUUUUGCAAAUGUUGAUGCUGAGUUUUGGGGGGGCAAAAGGUAUUAAUCUAUCCAUAGUCAGAGGAACUUUAUUUUGCUAAAACUAGCUGACAGUUUGGAAUAAUAUAUUUUGUUCACUUAUAACAACAUACCCAAAUGGAUUAAAGAAUUUUUAAAAAUGAAUAAAAUAACUAAAGGAAUAUAUAUGUGUGUGUAUGUGUGUGUACAUGUGCCUAUACAUAUUUAGGGGCUAGAAAUUUAAUCCAAUUCAAAGACCUUUACUUUUGACUUAUUUUUGAUAAAUUUUAUUGAAAUAUGCAUACAAAAAAGUAUGCAAAUCAUAAGUAUGCUGGAUGAAUUUUCACUGAGUGAACACUCCUGUGUAAUUACAUAAAAGCAAAGGAAGAAAGCAUAAGGGAAAUGAUUGAUAAGAUUGACAACAUAAAUAAGUUAAAACAUCUGUAUGUCAAAAUAUGUCAAACAGAAUUAAAAGGGAAAAUGAUAAACUGGAAGAAUGUUUGCAAAUACAUGACAAGGCUAAUUACCUUAAUAUUUAAUUGUUUUCAAAGAAAAAAUCUUUAAGGAAUUUGAAAACCCUAGUUAUAAAAUAAAGUACACAGGAGGCAAUGCAAUAUGAGGGGAAAAAAAUAUCCUUCACUGGGAAUUAAAGAAAAUGGCUAUACUAAAAACGUCACACCCCAUGAUAAAAAGGUGCUGGAAAUAGGCCUUUGCAUACAUUUCUAGUGAGUGCACGAGUGAAGUUUAGUGUUACUGUGGGGUAGGGGAAGGGAUAGUGGCUGUGUGCAGUUUGCAGUAGGUAGGUACCAUGAGCCUGCAGCAUGUAUAGACACUUUCUUUUUUUUUAAGAUUUUGUUUAUUUAUUUGACAGAUGGACCACAAGUAGGCAGAGAGGCAGGCAGAGAGAGAGGAGGAAGCAGGCUCCCCGCUGAGCAGAGAGCCCGAUGCGGGGCUUGAUCCUAGGACACUGGGAUCAUGAACUGAGCUAAAGGCAGAGGCUUUAACCCACUGAGCCACCCAGGCGCCCCUAGAUACUUUUGCCAUAAAAUUCUACUUCUAGAAAUUGCUUGAAGUAAAUAAUAGUAAAACACAAAAAAUAACUUAAAAUAUCUGAAAUAGGAGUUUGGUUAAACAGAGUAUAGGUUCUCCAGCCAUUAAAAAACAUCACAGAAGAAUACUGAAUAGGAUGAAAAAAAUUACAGUAUGGUAUGUGAAGACAUCAAAAUAUAAAAUUAAAUGUGUGCAAAGAAUUCAGGUUUUGAAAUAAAUGGUAUAUACAUAUAUUUUUAAAAAAUACUGAUAGAUCUUACAUUAAAAUAUUAACAGGUUUGGGGUGCCUGGUUGGCUCAGUCAGAAAAGCCUGCAACUUCUGAUUUUGGGGUCAUAAGUUCAAGCUCCAUGAUGGGUGUAGAGAUUACUAAAAAAAUAAAUAAAUAAACUUAAAAAAAUGUGAACAGGCUUAAAUCUGGCUGAAGAAGUAUGGGUUAUUAGUUUUUCUCUUUAUGCUUUUCUAUAUAUUCCAAGUUUUCUGUAGUGAAUAUUAAUUCUCUAAUCAGACAAAAUAGAGGUAAUAAAAAUAAUAAAGGUUUUUUUUUAAAGUUUUCUACAGUGUGAUUGCAUAGAGUCUGUAUCCUAAGCAGUAAAAAUGUCCUCUUUACAUAUGCUAUCUGCAUAUAAAAGAAAUAAAAAUACAGACUCAUUUUAUCUUCCCUAAAAGUGUGAAGAUGGGGCACCUGGGUGGCUCAGAUAGUUAAGCGUCUGCCUUCAAUCAGGUCAUGAUUUCCAGAUCCUGGGAUCGGAGCCUCAUGUCAGGCUCCCAGCUCCGCAGAGAGUUUGCUUCUUCCUCUCCCUCUGCCUCUCCCCUUGCUUGUGCUCUCUUUCUCGCAAAUGAAUAAAUAAAAUCUUAAAAAAUAAUAAUUUAAAAGUUUUAAAAGCAUGAAGAAAUUUUAUCCUCCUCUGGAAAGAUGUACACAUUAUGGUUGCCUUUCUGUGGUGACAUUAUGACAAGCGUUCAACAUGUAACACCAGGAUUAAUCAAGAAUUACCACUAUUAAACUACCAAGGGAAUACUCUUGACAAACAAUAGAGAUACAUAUUCUCCUGAAACACCACUAGUUAAAAUGUAUUAGAUUGCUAGCGUAUCACAUUACUAUGAUAAUUCUCAGCGCUGUUUAAAGUGUUUGACUGCAUUCCGCUGAAUUACAAGUAUAUAAAUAUAAGCUUUUAUUGAUUUGUCUAAUAGGACAAUCUGUCAAAUUUAUGCCAUGGGAGGAUUACAUGAAUAUUUCUUUCCUCUUUUUAUGCAAAAGAUGUUGCCAUUCUGUCUUUGUAUGGAUAAAGAUGGAAGACCAUCUUUGAACAGAUCAUUAUACCUUGUGUAUCCUAGAAGGCAUGGACUGACUAUAGGAGAAAGGUAAAAAGAGGUGUUUAGUUUAAAGCCGGCUCUUGAACUGAGAAGUAGAAGGAAAACAUUUACAUCAGGAGCCCACAGGUCUUCCGAAAAGGGAGACAAAUUGCCCUAAUCCUUGCCCCCAAGUUUUCUACCCAAGGAUGGUUUCAGGUAGAUUCAUAGAUUUGGACUGGGUAGUACCAUCUGAGGCCCAGGUGCCAGUGAUGCAGCGAGGCCCCUGAAAUGAGGCUGUGGGAGCUAGACUCUGGCUUGACCCUCAGGCAGAAGGGGAAGCAGGACUGGGAGAAGUUGGCCCUGCAAGUCUGUCCUGAACCAGAAGUUCACAGUAGGUGAACUAGUACGAUGUUUUUCAGCGAAAGAAGAGAGAUAAUGUUAAGUCCCAUUUCUAAGCAGCAUUUACUUCAGGUAUGCAAUAUAAAAAAACGAAACAAGUGAAACUAAAGGAAUUGUUGAAAUUGGGCAUCAGGACAUAGCUCUUCACAACAAGAGAUAAUAUUUUUCUUUUUUAAGAUUUUGUUUAUUGAUUUGAGAUGGAGCAAGAGAAAGAGCACAAGCUGGGCAGAGGGAGAGGGAGAAGCAGGCUCCCCACUGAGCAGGAAGCUGGAGCAGGGGCUCAAUCGCAGGAGCUGAGCUGAAGGCAGACACUUAACCAACUGAGCCAGCCAGGUACUUAGAGAGGUAAUAUUUUUAAAAGACUUGUGAAAAGGACUUACGAAAAAUAUAACGAGGUUGGAAUUGUGCUUAUUUUUUAAUAAAAUCUUUAUAUUUUAGCUGACAGUAAUUAGCAUCUUGCUCAGAGAAGAUCAAAAACCUUAGCACUCCUGUGAAUCCUCCCAGUGUUGUUUAUUUAGGCUAUUAUUAUCAUAGUUAUACAUUUCAUGAUUUUUAACGUUUAUUGUCCAGUCUAGCAAAAUUUCCAUAGUGACUUAGUGUCAUUUCUCCAUUUUAACAGAGCCAGUUCUCACUGUCAUUUUCUUCACCAGUUUCUCUUGUUUCUGAGCUCCUUGCUUCAGUCUCAUAAUUGGCUAACUUUUCUUACCAAGUAGUUUUAACGGGUGUUGUGUUGCCUAAUGUUUUUGACUUACGACAAUAUCUACCUGUUACUUUGUUCCUUGUUUUUAAUUCAAAAAAAUUUUAAGACUUUAUUUUUCAGUAAUCUCUAUACCCAAGUGGGGCUCAAACUCACAACCCCGAGAUCAAGGGUCGCCUGCUCCACGGAUUAAGCCAGCCAGGCCCCCCUCUGAUACUUCUAUUUUUGAAUACUGUCUUCUCUGAAUCGAUUAUUCUUGGGUCACACUUUACUUCUCUUUUUGGGGAUUGUUUUAAUGAUCUGUGGCUGUGUAACAAGUCACUCAAAAUUUGAGCUAUUUACAACACACCUUUGUUGUGGUGUGCAGUCUCUGAGUGUCAGGAAUCCGAGAGUGGCUUGGCUGGGUCGUUAUGGCUCCUGAUAAUAUGUUCAAGCUGCGUCAUCUCAAGGGUUCACAGGCCCUACAUCUACUUCCAAGAUGGCUCUCUCAUAUGGUUGUUCCCUGACUGGUAGCACUCGACAUCAGUUCCUCUGUGCCUUCACGUUUGCAUAACCUACCCCAGAAUGCGCUACCCAAGAGAAGGUGAGAGUACAACCAGGACUGAAGCCGUAGUGCCUUUUUAUAACCCAGUCUUUGAAGUGACAUACCACUAACUCUGCAGGAUUCUAUUGGUCACACAGUCCAACCCUGCUAAGGUGAGAGAGUGGACUACACAAGAGUUUGCACACCAGGAGAUGGGGAUCAUGCAAGAUCAUCUUGGAAGCUGGCUAAUACUGUUCUUUUCCUUCUGGUGUUGAGUAUUACCAUAGAGAAGUUAGAAAGCAGCCUGAAUUCCUUCCCUUGCUAGUAGUUUACCUAUAAAACCUAGAUGGCUAGAAAAAAAUCUUUAUUUUUGAAGCUCUUUAGUUUGGGAGUUGAAUGUUCUAUAUCGGAUUUUCUUAGAGGUGAUUUUUUUCUUUUUCCUGGAGAUUCAGUUUUUGUUUCAGUUCAGGGAUAUCUUUUAAAUCAGAUCUUUGAAUAAAACUUUUCUUUCAUUUUUGGGUUCUCUUCUUCAAGAUGAAGGUAAAAAGGGGGCAGAGCUACUUACUGUAUGGAGUGCAGAAAGCAGCAUUUUCCCCUUGCUUCUUACCAGUAAAAACAAUCUUAGUACCUUGUUUAGCUCAAGCUAUAGACUGAAUGCUUCUGUCCUCUCAAAAUUCCUUUGUUGACAUCCUAAACCCCAACGUGAUGGUACAGGAAAGCGGGUCGUUUUGGAGGAGAUUAGGUCAUCAGAGCAGAGCCUCUCACAAAAUAGGACUAAUGCCUUUCUAAAAGAGACCCCAGAGAGCUCGCUUGCCCUUUCCAGCUCGCGAGGGCACAAUGAGAGGAUGGCAUUCUAUGAAGCAGGAAACAGGCUCUCACUAGAUCCUGAAUCUGCCAGCACCUUGAUCUUGGGCUUCCCAGCCCCAAGAACUGUGAGAAGUAAUUUUGUGUUGUUUAUAAGCCACCCCAUCGAUGAUGUUCUGUUAGAGCAGCAGCCUGAACAGACUGAGACAGUUUCUAAUAAGCACUCAGUAAUGUUAACUAAAGGCUUUAUGUGCAUCACAUCACAAUUCAAUCAGGUAAGGGCUGUUAAAAUUCCCAUUUGUUAAAUGCACAGACACCCAUUCAUAUUAAUAUGCCUGAUAAGUGGCAGAGUUGAAUUUGAAGCCAGGCCCUCUGACUUCAUAGAUCGGGCAAAGCAAAAUGUUGUCUUCUACAUCCAGAUGUCGGGCCCUCAGCUGCACACUCAGUAGCAAUGACAGCACCUUCAGCAAACACCGGCAUCACUGCUGCCAUUCAGCAGAUGGGGAGUGACCAGAGUCCUGUCUAAUACGGGCAGUAAAGUGGAGAAGGAGAGGAGAAACAGGGUCCCAAGAACUUGACCAAGUUGCUUAUGGAAGAAUAGUCUCCCGUUCCCCUUAGACGAAUUCUGGAGGAUAUGAGAAAACUGGACUUCCCAAAGAAAUAAAAGCAGAUCUGGGGAAAUAUAAAUUUAUGGCUGCUGUUGCCCAUAGUUCUACCCUGGCUGGCUCACCUAAUUGUAAAUAUAUGCGGAAUGAAGUUAUUAGACUAUGUCUAGUCACAAAGGGUUGACUCAACCCUUCUACAGUAGGGUGUUGGAAAAGCCUUUAGCUGAAAGUAAGAUAAGCAGCUCUCUACUUGCUCUCUCUAUCUGGCUCUCAUCCACCUGCUGGUCCUUUUGAAACUCUCAUACCAGUCUUCACCCUGGGUUGUAUCAUAGUUUCACGCCAGGCUGGGAACUUCCUGGAACGGGGCUGGGGGCAGGAAAUAGAAACUGUAUAAAUGCUGUCUGUGUACAGCUGUUCAAGGUUCAAGCUGAAACACUCAGUUUACACCCAGGACGUGCUGAUUGUUCUUGAUACUUGUUUCUAUUUGCUCCAGCCAGCUCUGUGUAUGUAGUGAGUCUCUUGCUCUCUGCACAUGGUUUCCUUUGCUUCCACUGCUGUGGUGGGAGGGUUUUAUUCAUGGCCUGCUUUUAGAGGGAGGUUCCAGAUGGAGUGCUUCAUGAGGACUCUCCCACUAUUCAGAAGCAAUUUAGUUCAGUUGUCUGGGGCAUUACUCAACGUCAGUUGCCUUGCCCGAAUCCCUAGUGCAUUAUUUAUGAUUAUCACAUAGCUUGAAGCAAGACAUACAUCUGCAUGUGAAGAACCAAUUGGUAACAGUGAGGAGUUGGAGUUUGAUUGCUUUAGAUUCUAGUCUGGACCUUGUUCUUCCUAACUGUGUGACUUUGGGCAAAAUACUUAACCUCUCUAAUCCUCAGUUUCCUUGGCAGUAAAAUGACAAUUAAAUGACACCCAGCAAGAAAUACAAAAAAGUAGCCCUCCCCCCCCCUUCUUUUGCAAGUUUUGAAUACUUACAAGACAGUUCCUUGCUAUUUAUUUACUUAUUUUUAAAAAUCUUUUUGGGAAAGGGUGGGGGAAGUAAUAUUAGGAACUAAUAUUUUUAUUCAGGGUUGUGAGAACACUUUAGCUCUCUGAAAUUUACAUUUCUUUUGUUCUUUGUUUACCAACUGCUUCUGACAAAAUGUAAAAAAAAAAAAAAGAUUUUUCUCAGCGAUUUGACUCUCUAUAUCAAGUGAUUUUCAGUCUGCUAAUGAUUUCCUCAAACAUAGAAUUCCUGAAUUUCUUGGAGGUUUUUAAAUUAAAUAAACAACAAUAAGAAAUUUAUUCAAAAGUACAUGUUGGUGAGUGAAGAACUAAUGGCAGGUUUUUUUUUAUUAUUGUGGUAAAAUAUAGAUAAUAUUUACCAUUUUAACCAUUUUUUAUGUGCACAGUUCGGUGGCAGCAAGUACCGUCAGAGUGUCAUGCAACCAUUACUUUUUUUUUUUUUUUAAGAUUUUAUUUAUUUAUUUGACAGACAGAGAUCACAAGUAGACAGAGAGGCAGGCAGAGAGAGAGGGGGAAGCAGGCUCCCUGCUAAGCAGAGAGCCUGAUGUGGGGCUCGAUCCCAGGACCCUGGAUCACGACCUGAGCCGAAGGCAGAGACUUUAACCCACUGAGCCACCCAGGCGCUCCUCAUGCAACCAUUACUAUCAUCUGUUUGUACCUUAUUCAUCUUUCCCAACCGAAACUGCAGCGGUUAAACAGUAACUCCCCAUUCUCUCCUCCCCACAGACCCUGGCAACCACCAGGCAGAAGGCUAUGAUAGUAGGUAUUUUUAAGGAGAAAGAACUGGAAUGGGGCUUCCCUAGUGAGUGGCAGGCAUUGCAUUUCUACCUCAAGCCUAUGUCAUUUCUAAGCUAUCCCACUGAGAUGUUAAUCUGGUUUCUUGGCACCCGUAGCCCCAGAGGAAUGCCCAGUCUGACCUGAGCACCUGACUCUGUGGGGGGCAGGGUGGGGACAGUCAAGGGCUCUUCGUGUGCCGCCCAGAGACCGGGCAACAGCCUCAUUCCUUCCUGCUGCUUUGAGAAAUCAGCUGUAGUCUUGAUAUCCUAUUUUAGGCCCUGCUCAGCCUCUCAUUCUUCCUUUGGAGCCUUGAAUUUCAAGCCAGGGACUCCAACUGGUUUGACACCCGCCUGCCCGUGCCAGCUCAGUUUCCACCCCACCAGGAAUUUACCAUUGAGCAACCCAACCCUGUUUCCUCCGGCCCAAAUACCGACCUAGUAAAGGCAGGCUAGCCCUUAGCGCUUAUCUGUAAACUGAACAGGGUGAAUUAGGUAAUCUCAAAGGUAGAGGGCAGCUUUAAAGUUUUCCUCUCUGUUUAGGACAAACAAGUGGUGGUCCUAACGUAAUACCUAGAUAAG